AUUGAACGCUGGCGGCAGGCCUAACACAUGCAAGUCGCACGAGUGGCGGACGGGUGAGUAAUGUCUGGGAAACUGCCCGAUGGAGGGGGAUAACUACUGGAAACGGUAGCUAAUACCGCAUAACAUCGGAUGUGUCCAGAUGGGAUUAGCUAGUAGGUGGGGUAACGGCUCACCUAGGCGACGAUCCCUAGCUGGUCUGAGAGGAUGACCGUCCACACUGGAACGGGGACACGUUCCGUACUCCGACGGGAGGCAGAGGGGGGGAAUAUUGCACAAUGGGCGCAAGCCUGAGGCAGCCAUGCCGCGUGUAUGAAGAAGGCCUUCUGGUUGGAAAGUACUUUCAGCGAUGAGGCGUUACUCGCAGAAGAAGCACCGGCUAACACCGUGCCAGCAGCCGCGGGAAUUC
rnacentral:rRNA from 1 species